UGCCCCAUGGCUGAGUUGGUUACAGCGUCCGACUGUUAUUCAUGUCAUAUAGGUUGUUCAUAUAGCUAUCGGAAGGUCGUGAGUUCGAGCCUCACUGGGGCAG